rnacentral:tRNA from 1 species
GUCGAUAUGUCUGAGUAGUUAGAGAAACAGACUUGAAAUUUGUUGGGCUUUGCACACCCACACUGGUUCGAAUCCUGCUGGCUACG